GGGGACCUACCGUGCCAUACUAGCCCAGCUGAAGCAGAGAAGUAACCAUCUGAACUGGAGACCUACUGGAUCCCUGGUUCCCCACUGGAUCUCUGGUUCAAAUGGUUAGUUCCCACCUCAGCUGGGCUAGUAUGUCAGUGUAAGUCCCC